rnacentral:tRNA from 1 species
GUCGCUAUGGUGUGGUGGUUAGGACAUGGUGUUGUGACCGAUCGAACCCAGGUUCGAAUCCUGGCAGCGACA